GUCUAUGGCCAUGCCACCCUGAACAUACAUGAUCCUGUCUAAUCUCAGAAGCUAAGCAGGGUCGGGCCUGGUUAGUACUUAGAUGAGAGACCACCUAGGAAGACCAGGUGCUAUAGGCA
rnacentral:rRNA from 1 species